GCUAAUCUUUAUUUAACAGGUGCGCCGGGCAAGUUCUUGUCCUGCGUUAAACGGGAAAGUGGUCGGCGCGUACCCAUCAUCGCGUGCCCCAAGCCCCUGCUGCCUCCGCAACGGUAGGCAAGUGCGGCUGCUUCAUUCACGCCACUGGUCCACCAGACUGGGAAGGCGAAGCAGCAAGACUUGCAAGCCCGGAUACCGGCCUGUUGAUCUUCAGCGCC
rnacentral:ncRNA from 2 species